CCAAGUCUAGUGCCGACCAGCGCCGCGACGCCUCGCAAUCCUCUCUCUCCCUGUCUCUUCUCUCUCGUCUUCUCUUCUCUUCUAUUCUCUUCUCUUCUCUUCUAUUCUAUUCUGUCCUGCCGCCCUUCGUACAUAUUCCAACGACAGGGCUCUCUCUGUUGUUUGACGAGCGCGGCUCGAUCUGGGAUCGUCUCGAAUCUCGGCACCCGGUAAUAACGCAACCGAUUGGAUCAGCUUAAGGGUGAGAGACGCGGUCACGUAACGAGUGAGCAGUGUGAGUCCGUGAGUCGAUGGACCAAUCGCCUCGCUCUCGCGGAAGGGCCGCAAUCGCCAUCUCCGUGUCGUCGUUCAGCGCGAUCCUUUCGCGGCGACGGUGAAGUGUGAAAGUAUCUUUGCGAUGAUACUGGCCAUGACAGUGAAGGAUGGGAUUCUCUUUCGUCUUUGUUUCAUACCGAAAGUGCACGUACGUAUCGUGCAAGGAGAGAGAGAGAGUAACGGUCCUCUCUCGUUCGUUGACGAUGCAGUCGGCGUUCUUGCGGCGGCUCUUCUUUCGUAUUCAAAUUCGUUUCGGCGAGGCUCGCAGCGGGAUGCGAAAUAGAUUUUUCGGAAAUGCUGAUAUUUUCCAUUUCUUUUAUAAUGGUGAAUAACGGGCGUGUCGUUUAUAUUUAUUGUCGUUCAUCUUUUCACUGAGAUCCGUAGUUAUUUUUUAUUCCCCAGAUAUGUUUCUUGUUAAUUAAUUAUGAAGUAACUCAUUAUAUUAUGCGAUAAUAAUAAUUAUACGAUUAUAAUAAUUUAUAUUAAUGUUAGAAUAUUUUUAUGAUAUUCCAUCUUUUAUAACGGUGAAUAACGGGCGUGUCGUUUAUAUUUACGUCAUUCAUUUUUUUUUCACUGAGAUCCGCAGUUAUUCUAUACCCCAGAUAUGUUUCUUGUUAAUUAAUUAUGAAGUAACUCAUUACAUUAUGCGAUAAUAAUAAUUAUACGAUUAUAAUAAUUUAUAUUAAUGUUAGAAUAUUUUUAUGAUAUUCAAGUACAAUUUAAAACAUUAUGCGAGAAAGAGAGGGAGAGAGAGAGAAGCACGCGAGUACAAUCUGUCAGAGGAAAUUGUAGUAGCGAAGAGAGCGUUUAACAUGGUGUUAAUUAAUCUUCAUCUCGAUAUAACGUGAUUAAAUGUAGACUGCUUUUUCCAGUGGUUUAGCUCCGCCUCGAACUACGCAUUUUUUCCCAUGUGGAUCGCGAUUUUACUAUUUUAUGCCUUCCUAGAUUGCAAUCUACGCUAAUUUAUGUGUAACCGAACGAAGACUCUCAUCAUAAACAGUAAGAGGCAAUGAUUUUGUUUGCUGUAAAAUAGCCGAUCGCAAUCGCAGGAACGGCAAUAAGAAGUCAGCGUGGAAGUAGGUGUGUUUAGAACUAUGCAGGAUUCGGCCAAUAUCGUUCGCCAGGUUCUUCGUGGAUCGCGACGCGUCACGUGUCUUACGACCUUGACUUCCCGUGGCAUCGGAGCGCUAAGAGGUUUACCUUGGUAAACCCUAGUAUCCCGGGAUACCACUCGGGGUCUCGGUCGAGGGAUUAAGACGGGGUUGUUGAACAGGACGACACGGGAGGGACGGCGGAUGGGAAGAAACAGAGUGAGAGUGAGAAUGAGAAAGGGAAAGAGGCGACUACAGUAAUCGUACGCCCGUAUAAUUGAUUGAGUCUAAUGAGUUAAAGCGGAUGCUACGGUAUCGAUGGCGAAAAUUAAAGAGUGGGUCGUGAGAAAAGGCGGCGAUAAUCUCGGGGACGGAGAAAGUAUACGGAACUUGGAUGCCCUUGUCCUUCUCAGCUCCGCUUCUCUCUUUCGCGCCCGUCCACGUCUCGACCGGCCUGGGAGGAAAACGCUGAUUGUAAAUUAGUUAAAGGAGAUGCUUCAUUAGGCAGCGCUGCCUUGGUUCUUGAAGCCGCAGUCUCCUCGCGUUUAACUGUUUUUAAAGGGACGAACGGCAUAAUAACUAGUAGCGCGCAGGCUGAUCGAUAUAUAAGUUAAGUAUAUAAUUAUCAUAUAAUUAUAAAUGUUUGAAAAAAACGUGCGUUUUUCAUCGGCAACAUGAUUUAUCGUAUCAAUCACGAUUAUAGGUCUCUUUAUUUAUUGAUUUUUAUCUUCUUAUUUUUUUUUUGAGAUAAAAUUAUGGCGAGAAACAAAGUAUAAAUAAUAGGCCAAUGGAAUGCAUACGCGUGCUUUUUUUAUUCGAUGAUUUUGUUAUUAUUGCAAUAUUGCGAUACAUAACUAAAUAUUUUUAUUAAAACUAUCCUUUAAGCUAAUGUCAUUCUUAUCUUAUGUUAAUAUCCACGUUCCCUAAGCAAAAUACAAUAUACUUGAAGAUAUUUUCCUCCCCGUCCUGUUGCUCCAGGCACAUAUAAUUAUUCAAUGAUUGAGAGAAAUAGGCAAAUAUAUGACAUAUAAGAUACUUA